GACUGAAAGAAGGCAAAGAACCUUCAGUUUCAGUUCUCAGUUACCGACAUUCAGAAACCGGAGAUGGGAUCUGGUGCUGGAAGUUUCCUCAAAGUUCUCCUUAAAAACUUCGAUGUUCUUGCUGGGCCUGUGGUUAGUUUGGUUUAGCCACUGUAUGCCUCAAUUCGGGUUAUAGAGACCAAAUCACCAACUGAUGAUCGCCAAUGGCUUAUGUAUUGGAUUCUCUACUUUAUGAUUACACUCUUUGAGCUCACUUUUGCCAAACUUAUUGAGUGAUCAUAAUACAUGCCUGAUUGGAGAAGACGAGCACUGCUACAGUGACAAUCAUGUGUCAAACAUUGAAGGUGGUUGCUAUGCUAAGUGCAUUGAUUUGUCAAAAGACAAGCAACCAGAUAUUUGGAAUUCUAUCAAAUUUGAGACUGGCCAAAUAAAGGAGGUCCUUCUAAGCUACACUCAAAGUUCAUUUGAUUAACCCUUCAGUCAAGAUCCGCCUUCUUUUGGCUAUCAGUUAAGACAUAGGAGAGGAAAAUCAGAAACUACUCGACAUUCUUUAUCUCUGGGCAUGCUGUGGCUCGACACUCUGCAGAGGGCAUCACAAAGAACCUGUGGGUUGCAAUCCUGCAACUGCUUCUUUAUCAGCUUAUUUCGCCUGAUUUUGUCAACCCAUUAUCCAAUCUUUUCUUAAGGCUUCCUUUUUCCCGAAGGUACGUUACUGCUGAUUAUCAU